rnacentral:lncRNA from 1 species
GAGGUUCCGGUCCGCGGUCCCGUUUAUUGCAUCAAAAUCUAAAUUAAAAAGACUAACUAAGCCUAUAAGCUACGAGUUACAAGAUUCCUAUCUAUAAAUCUUUUGAAACUUGAUCUUGAGUCUUGGCUAGGUCUUGUUGCAGACUCUAAUCUAAAUCUUAAUGCUUGUCAGCUGCAUAUGCUGGUUCUUUCUUCAGCAUUUGGAUCAAAGAGGGACAUGCGAAACUUUUGACUUUGAAUCAAAUUUGAGCAGUCUGCAUUUUCUUCUUCGAACAUCCUGAGUUCGGUUCUUUUUGCUCUUUUGUUAUUUUCCUUUAUUCUGUAUUGAGACUCACGCUUCUGGUCAUCUCGAACCCUGUGCCAUGAGGUAAAACCUGCUCAGACACCAAAAAUAAACAAACGAACGAAAUUUUAUGCCCCAAUUUUUACUAGGAAAAUUUCGUGAGUUAUUUGUAACACAAAUCUAAGCUAUUUCUUUAUUGAAAAAAAUAAAAAUCGGGAUUCUAUAUCCUUUGGAAAGAUUGCCAGGUUAUGUUGGGAAGGAGAAAAGGUCCCUGCUGGGGGUAAGAGGAGCAUCCAUGGGUUAUGCCGGGAUGGGAAUGAAGGGUCCCUACUGGGGAUGAAAGGAAAAAGACACGGGUUAUGUCGGGAUGAAAUGAAAAAAGAUUCCUAGGUUCUGCUAGGGAGAUCCGCGGGUUAUGCCGGGAUGAAUGAAAAAAGUUUCUGGGUUAUGCCAGGGGUCCAUGGGUUAUGCCGGGAGAAGAAGGCUCCUCGGUUAUGCUAAGGGGAUCUGCGAGUUAUGCCGGGAUAGGAAGAAAAAUGGUCUACUAAGGAUAAAAAAAAAAUGAUCCUUGGGUUAUGCCAAGGGGAAGAAAAUAAAAAUACACUCAGGUUAUGCUGGAGAUAAAUGGAAAAUAACCCUCAGGUUAUGCCGUACGGGAAAGAAAAGACCCUCAGGUUAUGCUGGGAGGAAAAGAAAAGACCCUCGGAUGCUAGGGAGAAAAAGGAAAGAUGAUCCUCGGGUUAUGCCGAGGAGGUCCACGGGUUAUACCGGGAUAAAAGGGAAAAGGUCCUAUGCUACCAUGAUUUUGGGUUUUUUUUGAAUUAUCCUAGGGGAAAAUUCGUCAGACUAGGUUUUCUAUCUUAGGAGAAAAAAUUCAUCAGACAAAGAUUUUGACCCUAGGAGAAAGUUCAUCAGACUAGGUCUUUCUUUCUUCUUUUGUUUUUGGUAUCUUAGGAGAAAGAUUUAUCAGACUAAGAUUCUGACCCUAGGAGAAAGUUCAUCAGACUAGGUCUUCUAUCUUAGGACAAAUAUUCAUCAGACUAAGAUUUUGGUCUUAGGAGAAAGUUCAUCAGACUAGGUCACUUUUUUUAUAUAUCUUAGGAGAAAGAUUUAUCAGACUAAAAUUUUGAUCCUAGGAGAAAGAUUCAUCAGACUAGGUCUUCUAUCUUAGGAGAAAAAUUCACUAGACUAAGAUUUUGAUCCUAGGAGAAAGCUCAUCAGACUAGGUCUUCUAUCUUAGGAGAAAAAUUCAUCUGACUAAGAUAUUGAUCCUAGGAGAAUGUUCAUCAGACGAGGUCACUCUUUUGGUAUCAUAGCAGAAAGAUUCAUCAGACUAAGAUUUUGAUCUUAGGAGAAAGUUCAUCAGACUAGGUCUUCUAUCUUAGGAGAAAAAUUCAUUAGACUAAAAUUUUGAUCCUAGGAGAAAGCUCAUCAGACUAGGUCUUCUAUCUUAGGAGAAAAAUUUAUCAGACUAAAAUUUUGAUCAUAGGAGAAUGUUCAUCAAACUAGGUCACUCUUUUGGUAUUUUGGGAGAAAGAUUCAUCAGACUAACAUUUUGAUCCUAGGAGAAAGUUCAUCAGACUAGGUCUUCUAUCUUAGGAUAAAAUUCAUCAGACUAAGAUUUUGAUCCUAGAAGAAAGUUCAUCAGGCUACGUCAUUUUCGGUAUCUUAGAGAAAGAUUCGUCAGACUAAGAUUUUGAAUGGGAGAAAAAUCCAUCAGACUAGGACUUUUUAUCCUAGGAGAAAAAAUAAUGUGAAGAUCAAUGGCAAGAUUUUAUGCCCAUGCAGACAAAUAUAUACCAAGAAUUGAGAAACUUACCUUUGUCGGCUCUACUCUUCUUGUUUUUUUCUUCUCUUUUUUGUUGUUUUUGUUCGUUUUGUUUUUUAUCUUUCUUUCUUCUUUGUUUGUGAACCACUUUCCUUGCGCUGCUUUGUUGCUGCUGCAAACAAAGAACACUUUGUCAGUUUUGAAAAUGGUGGUCGGUUUGUGGCCUUGAGUCUUGAGCAGCUUGGCUUUUGCUUGAUCAGCCUGAGUCGGUCUUAAAAGACCUUUGUUCUACACCAACUCUGAUUGUUUCGCACCCAGUACCAUUUUGUAUUUGAGGCUCAAUCAACCCUGUCGCGAUUGGAGAUCUUAGCUCAGGUGACCUUUUCUGAUAUCUUCAAAAACUUUCUGCUUUUUGAGCAAUUUGUCUGUUAGAGAGAAUCACAAGUUAUCUUUGCUUGCGCCAAGCAGGCUGACAAGAGUCUUUUUGGAAAGCCUUUUCAAAAAUCCUCAAGGUAUGUUGACAGUAACAACUGAGUGCGCUGGCAAAAUUUAAUUUGUGCAACUGAAAAGAUGGUAGCAGAUUUUGAAAUCAUUUCUUGCUCAUUUUGACAAGGGUGGACUUAAAGUGAAGGACACAAUUAUGAAAAGAAACGAAUAUUAAAAAGAAAUUCCCCCUGUCGUCUUUUGAGGAAGCCCUUGCAUGAACCCUCAAGGCAUGCUGACAAUAACAACUGAGUAGUUGGCCAAAUUUACUUUGUGCAACUGAAAACCUGGUAGCAUAUUUUGAAAUAUUUUCUUACUUGUUUUGAUGAGGACAGACUCAGAGUGAAGGACAUAAUGAUGCAAAGAAACGAAUAUUGACAAGAAAUGCCCCCUGUCGAAAGGACAAAAAGAAGCUUUUUUUUUAUUUUUUUCCUUCUUUUUUUUUUCCAUCAUUCUUUUCAAUAACUAGCCUUAAUGAUCAUGACAUACAUUUUGGACUUAACGGCCUGAUCUAUCCAACUAAUCCAAUCUUCCCGUUUACCAUUUUUAUGACCUUUGAAGUCGGGCUUGUUCGUGCCAAUCCUUGCAUCAGUUUCAUGACUUACUUUCGACUAGUGGUGCCCCGAGGAGUUUUCACCAACAAGACUUUCUCAUUUAUUUAUCUCUUCUUAUUGUUGCUUUACAGUGCCCAUGAGGGUUUUCACUAGUAAGACUCUCUUAUUUAUUUUUUUCUUUUUCCUGUGCUUUUUCUUUUUCUUUCCGCUUUUUUUUUUUGGAGAGCAACUUGAUAGUGUUCUAUGUCGCGUGACAUACGUUGCUCAUUGCCUGCGUUUCUUGGCAUUCUUGAAAGCUGAUCAUGAGGUAUUUAUUUGGAAGGUUUUUGGAUGUGGGUAGGAAGAAAGGGUCGGCAUGACGACUCAAAGUUGACUUAAAGUGAAGGGUUGUAGACUUACAACUUUUGGAAUCGUCUCAUCAAAAGUGAAAUAAAUUUUUUUUGCCCCACUUUUAACCAUUGGUGUUUUUGGAACAUUUCUCUCUUUUUUUUUUGUGAAUUCUUAUUUGGUUGGAUCGAAUUGUGAGGCUGCCUACGUAUCCUUUUUUUAAAGGAAUCAGGACUAACGUAGUUCAAACAUCCAACUUAAAGUAUAUUUCAUCUUUCUUUCCGCUUCUCUUUUCAUUUUUCUUUUUCUUUUUUUUUCUUUUUCUUUUUUGAUUUUUUAUUUUUAUUUUUAUUUUUAUUUUUUGCUUGCCCCAGCUUCUUUGUUUUGAGGGCAUGGACCUUUGAUAAUUCUUUCUUUUUGUUUUUCGCUUGGAACCUUCUAAAAGCUGCCCCAGUUUAUACUCUUGGGACAUGGACUUUCUUUCUUUUUUUUUCGUUUCUUUUCAUCUUUUUUUGACUCUUGACUCUAAACGUGAUUCCAAACGAGGGUGAUCAAAGAAAAUAAUACCGGAUUAAAAGGGGUUGCAAAGGAUAUGAAGUGUUUGGAUAACAGAAAAAGGGCCUCCUAGCCUCGACACUGCCAAUCAUAUUAUCUUUCACGACCGCAGCAUUGGUGAACAUGUUUAAUGUCUUGGUGUGUUGUGGCCGAAAGACACUUUUCAUCCCUUAAUGUCAAACUUUCCAAUAAACAUCAAUUGAUUAAAUAUUCUCAAGCCCGAUCUUCACAAUGAAUUGAAGGUGAAUUUUGCUCGACCUUAAUUCCCAAGUAUUUCAAGUCUUUAUUCAUCCUCAAAAGUGCUUCUUUUUUUUUCAGUUAUCCAAUUCCAGAUUAAAUGAGUUUCUAAGAUCUGGCCAAAAUUUCCGGAUGCAUUUCAUGUUAUUAAAACUAGCGCGAAAUAACUAAGAACGGAAUGCCACAAACUUCUCUUUUUUUCAGUUAUCCAAUUCCAAGUUAAAUCAGUUUCUAAGAUCUGGCCAAAAUUUCAGGAUGCAUGUCAUGUUAUUAGAACUAGCGCGGAAAGAACUAAGAACAAAAUGACACAAAAGGACAAACUGAAUUUUAUUGAAUAAGGAUGGAAUGGUAACGACUAAACAAGAAACCUAAGAUGAUCCGAGUUACAACCCUAAAAUAACCCGGAUAAUGAAAAUAGCAAUAAAAUAGACAGACAUGACUCAUACAAAUAAAAUAGAAGGAUAGAAGGGUCUGACUCAAUAAAGAAAAUAAAAUCUAGAUCAGAACCCUGAAAUAACCCAGAUAACAGAAAAACAUCAAAACAAGCUACCAAGAUUACCUCCUAAGACAUGAGGGAAUGACUUUUCAAUUGCUAAGCUUGACAUUGAGCCACAAAUUUGCUCAACGGAAUCACCAUGGCCUCCUCCAAUUUCAGACGGCAGGUUCUCGAGAGGAUUAUCAUACUCGAUGACACCAGACAUCAUCCUCACAAAGUAUGCAUCAUCAUGUGCAGGUAAAGGAUUCUGCAUGAUAUUCUGGGUGUCAUUGUCUUGAAUCACAAUCAGUUUUUCCUGGAUCAUCCUCUCUAUUUCUCUUUUCAAAUCCCGACAAAUUUCAACAUCGUGCCCCAGGGCAUCAGAAUGGUAUUCACACCUUUUAGAAGGGUCAAAGCUUCUUGCACGUGGGUCCACAUGAUUUUGAGAAAUGGGUGCAAUCAUGCCAUAAUGCUUUAGCUUCUCAAAUAAGCUUGCAUAAGACUCUCCUAUUGGUGUAAAAUUAUCCUUCAACCUUUGUUCCCUUCUAUGCCCCUGGGUUGGAUAGUGCAAUCAUGCCAUAAUGCUUUAACUUCUCAAAUAAGCUUGCAUAUGACUCUUCUAUUGGUGUAAAAUUAUAUUUCAACUUUUGUUCCCUUCUAUACCCCUGGCAUGGAUGUGGGUUAUAAGGCAUUUGAAAAUUUUGUGGAGGCUGGUGGAGAUAUUUUGAUCCUCGUGCUCGACUUCUUGGGUGAUUUGGUGCCUAGACAACAUACUGAGGUGGAUCAACAAGGUAUGGUGGGUUCUGAGGUGGAUAGUAAUGCUCAGGGGAGUCAUCGAAAACCUGAUGAGGCUACGCAUACCUUCGAGGUGUUCUCAUGGAACCUCUUCUCGACCCUGUUGUCAUCAUGAUUUCUUCAUCCGUCUCAUUUAUGUCACUUUUAUUCUUUUAUUCUUUUUUGACUUUUUUUCUUUUCUUUUUCUUUUUCAUUUUUUGACUCUUGACUCUAAACUUGAUUCCAAAAGAGGGUGGUCAAAGAAAAUAAUAUAUGUUCAAAGUGGUGACGAAUGGCAUAAAGUGUUUAGGUAGCAGAAAAAGGGCCUCCCAACCUUGAGAACGCCAAACAUAGUAUCUUUUUGCGAUCACAACAUUGAGGAACAUGUCUGUCAUCUUGGUGUGUUGCGGUCAAAAGACACUUUCCAUCCCUUAAUGUCAAACUUUCCAAUAGAUUUCAAUUGAUUAAACAUUCUCAAGCUCGAUCUUCAAAAUGAUUUGAAGGUGGAUUUUACUCGACCUUAAUUCUAAAGUAUUUUAACUCUUUAUUCAUCCUCAAAAGUGUUUUUUGUCUUUUCUUUUUCUGUUAUCCAAUUCCAGAUUAAAUAAGUUUCUACGAUCUUGCCAAAAUUUCCGCAUGCAUGUCAUGUCAUUAGAACUAGCAACAAAAGAACUAGGAAUAGAAUGACACGAAAGGAAAAACUGUAUUUUAUUGAAUAAAGAUGGAAGGUUUGACAAUUAAACAAGAAACCUAAAAUCCGAGUUACAAACCUAAAAUAAACCGAAUAAUAAAAAUAGCAACAAAACAGUCAAACAUGACUCCUACAAACAGAAUAGAAUGACAGAAGGGUUUGACUCAAUAAAAAAAAUAAAAUCUGGAUCACAACCCUGAAAUAACCUAGAUAGAAGAAAAAACAUCAAAACAAGCUAGCUUGAUUCCUUCCUGUAAAGAGAGAAUGACUUUUCAAUUUUUAAGCUUGACAUUUCACCACAAAUUUGCUCAUCAAAAUCACCAUGGCAUUCUCCCAUUUCAGCCGGCAAAUUCCCGAGAGGAUUCUCAUACUCCAUGUCACUACUCAUCACCCUUACAAAGUGUGCAUCAUCAUGUGCAGGUAAAGUACUCUGUGCGAUACUCUGGGUGUCACUGUUUUGGAUCAUAAUCAGGUUUUCUUGGAUCAUCCUUUCUAUUUCUCUUUUCAAAUCCCGAUAAUUUUCAAUAUUGUGCCCCUACGCAUUGGAAUGGUAUUCACACCUUUUGGAAAGGUCAAAGCUUCUUUCAAACAAGCUCGCAUAGGACUCUCCUAUUGGUGUAAAAUUAUCUUUCAACUUUUGUUCCCCUUUAUACCUCUGGCUUGGAUGUGGGUAAUAGGGCAAUUGAAGAUUUUGUGGAGGAUGGAGGAGAUUUUGUUGUACUCGCGCUCGCCUUCUGGGAUGUUAUGGUGGUCAGGCAUCAUAUUGAGGUGCAACAACAGAGUAUUGAGGGUUCUGAGGUGGAUAAUAUUGCUUAGGGGAGUCAUGAAAAACCUGAAGAGGCUGAUCAUAUCUUCGAGAUGUUCUCCUGGGAUCUAUUCUCGACCCUGAUGUCAUCAUGAUUUCUUCAACCUUCUCAUUCGAGUCACCAAAAUUACCAAAAUUAUCUGAUUCAAUCUAGUCAACCUGAGUUGUGGCUUUGAGAACUAGUUGACUUAUAAUUUUGCCUGUCUUAAGACCAUUCUCAACCAUUUCCCCCAUUUCGAGAAGGAUUUACCCACAGCGGAUAUCAUGUUUUGAAAAUAAUCCAGCUCUUGAGCCUGAGGAAAGACAGUGAUUAGCUCGUGGUCAUCCAUGGGUGGCUUAGAUCUAGCUUCUUGCUCUCUCUAUUUAAUAGCGUAUUCCCUGAAACUUUCACUUUGGUUUCUUCUUCAGGUUUGAAAGGGAAUUUCAGUUUGGGGCAAUGUCCAUGUCGUAUUGAAACUGUUUGACAAAGGCCUGCACCAUGCUAUCCUAGACGUACCAGCGAGAUGUGUCCUGAUCCAGAAACUAUUCAGAUAAUACUCCCGUAAGGCUUUCCCCAAAAUAAGUUAUUAGCAAUUCUUCAUUUCUUUCCACACCUCUCAGUUGAUUGCAAUACCUUUUUAGGUGGGACUAUGGGGUCUCCAUGUCUAUCAUACUUUUCAAAUUUGGGAGUCUUGAAACCAGGCGGCAAGUGGACAUCGGGGAACAUACAUAGAUGUUUGAAGGCAACACUAUUUUGACCUGCCAACCCUUACAUGUUUUCAACCGUUGUUCUAAGAUUUUCACUCUUUGGGUCAUUUCUCUAUAUUUCAUCUUUCGGGCAGGCUUCUCGAUGUUUGCAAGAAGAUCAAACGAGUACGAGUGAUAUUCAGGAGAGUGGUACUGCUCUUGCUGUGUUGCAAAUUGUGACUCAUGACAAGGUUCUCUUUGGCCAUUGGCCCAUGAUUGACACAUUUUGGUCAUUUGCUGUUUCAGUAUUCUAUUUUCCUCAACCAUAGUAGACUCUUGUCGAACCCUCUGACCGUGAGUCUCUUGAGCAAUUGUAACAGUCUUGAUGUCAAUUAUCAUUUUUUGUUGUAUCUUGUGUUUCAGCUUACCACAAACCAACCACCUCAAACUUUCUUCACAAUUCAAAACAAAAGAUAUGUUAGAAUGGACUCAGUCAUCCUUACUAUUAUCAAUAAUUUUUUUCCUUUUCUUCAUUUUUUCAUUUUUUUGUUUGGUUGAUCGAAUCUGAUAUGGGUUUCCUACGUGUCAUAUGGGAACAUGAAUCCGAUAUUGCGUAGUUCAGGAAGAUUAGGAAUAAAGGAAAUAAACUAAAUUUAUGUUUUUCUGGAUUUGGAAUUUUCUCUUCUAUUUUUUACUUUUUUUUUCAAAAGAAAGACUUAUAAAGAAGAUAGAGCAUAUUUUUGGAUUUUGAUUUUUCUUCAGUAAUUGCAAAGAAAGACUUCUAAAGAAGAUAUAUUUUUUUUUGAAUUUCGACUUUUUAUUGUUUUUUUUUUAAUUUCGAUAGAAAAAUUUCUAAAGAAGAAGGAAAGAUAUUUUUGCCUUUAUGGAUUUUUAUUCUGAAGUUAGGAAAGAAGUUCUUCGAAAGAAAAAGAAAGUAUUUUUAAAUCAUGAAUUUUCUUUUCAAUUUUCCGAAGAAGAAUAAAAAUAUGUUUUUGCAUUUUUUGAUUUUGAGAAGCAACUAAAAGAAAAAAAAUUUGAAUUUUUUUUUAAAAACUAGAAUCUUAAAGAAAAAUUUUUCUAAAGAAGGAAGUAAAAGAAUUUUUUUGGAUUUUUAAAAAUUGGGGCCGGAACCGAUGAGGUUUGCUUACGUAUCUCACAUCCGGUAAGAAUAAGAUCCGCGUAGUUCUGCCAGUUUUAACGGAACAGGAAAACAUGACACUUGAAAAUUUUGGUUCAUUUUGAAAUGACUUUUUUUUCCAGAUUUGGCAGAGUUUCAACAUAUUUCAAAUACCUACAUCUACUCUUUUCUUUUCUUUUUUCUCUUUUUUUUAAUUUUUUUUUAUUUUCUUUCCCUAUUCUAAUCAACAUGUAAGCCUGAACAGAUAGAUACACAAGUAGCACAUAAGAUGCAUCAGGAUGGUCUUUUAAUUUGGGUACACAUGUCCUAGACGGACCUAACCCAUGUGUUGAGUCCCCAAAGUCAAAUGUACGUGAUGCAAACAAACGUUCCUACAAGGAAUCCGGCAUGAGUCUGAGUUAUUCUAAGUAUAAAACCUGGGUAUACUGCUCUAGACUUGUGCACCCGAGCGGACAACUCGAGCCGAGGAGGGGGCUAUGUACCGGGAACCAAAAGGCUAUCCGGCUUAGUAACUUUUCUGAGCCUCUUUCUUAUUUCAAGUUAUGACACUAACAGAAUAAGGAGUCUCGACCAGCAAGCACAUCCCCAAAGAUGAGAAGAGAAGGAUUUCGUAGCAUUUUAUAUAUAGUUCAGAUAACAUUAAGGCGGUAAAAGCAUCAUUUAGCACAUCAGGCUCAAACAUGUAGGAAAAUCAUAUAAUAAAUAAAGCCAAUCAUAACAGCUAUUCUAAGCUCAAAUUCUUAAACUCUGAAUCGAAGUUUAGGGUUUGGAUCCCCAGCAGAGUCACUAGAGCUGUCACACCUCCUUUUUUCUACACCCUAGAAGGGGAGAUAAAGGAGUUUAUUCCAAUUUAAAGUGACAAAAAACAGAAUUAUUUUAUUUAAAAUUCAGAGUUGCCACUUGGAUAAUUUAUGGUUUCCCUGUCACCGGUAUAAAUCCCGAAUCGAAAAAAGAUUGACUUUGUUUUAUAGUCCGCGAACAUAGAAAUUUGGGUAAAGAAUUCUGUUAAGCGGUAGAAGGUGUUAGGCAUUCCCGGAUUCCGUGGUUCUAGCACGGUCCCUCAACUGUUAUAUUUGGCUUAAUUACCUUGAUUUUAAUACAUUUUAAACCUAUGUAAAAUUUUUAACUUUAUAACCGCUUUUAUUUAUUUUAAGGAAGAUUGCAACGUCAUUUAAAAUACGUUUUGAACCACGUCACAUAAAUGCACCCGCGGUCCCCGACAUAUUUUAUCUAACGUUGUUGAGAUUUGGAUUUGGAUCACAUAAAUGUGCACCCGAGUUUAGGAAGGUGAAUUGUUUAACUAAUGCGCCUAAAGCAAUUACGCGUUUUUUUUAAUUUUGUGAAGGCCAUGGAAGAUUCAACUAAAUGGCACAUCUCGAUUUCUAAAGGAUUAAAAUUAAUUAAACGAGGGCCAUGGGUUUUGAUAUUUUGUUUGGCAUGGUGCUCCUUAAAUUAUUUCAAAGGAUUUGAUUCUUCGAAAUUAUUAUGAUCGGGUUACAUAAAAUGCACCCCCGAAUUGGAUUCACGUAUCGUAACCAUGCCACGGAAACUGUACCCAUGACCAUGAUAAUUGAUUGAAUUAUACUAAUGAAAUAUAAAUAAGGAGUAGUUACAUAUAAUCAGAAUCAUGUCAUUGCUAACGAUUAUUGAAAUACUAAUGACAUCUAAUAAAAAGUAGUUUACAUAUAAUCAAAUCUCAUAGUUGUCCAGACAUGUUCGAAUAGAUUCAUUUAUACUAAUGACAUCUAAAUACAAAUGAUUUACAACCAGAAAGAAAUAGGCACGAAGAGAAAUCGAGGGAUUAAUUGCUGGCCCUCACAAUUUUGGAAUUGAAAAAUACUUGAUUCACAAUGGCGGAUACAUGUUGUCACAUGGGUUCUUAGCUUUUGAAAACAAGAUUACUACUUAUAUAUAACACACAAAAAGCCAAUUUAAUCAAGAUCUUAUCAGAUUUAUAUUAAGGUUUAAAUUUACACAAAAUACAAAGAUAGCAUUGUUCUACGUAGAACACAAUGGCAGGCCCAAGUAUACUAUCACAUUUAUAGCUUAUGAAUAAACCUCAACUUCAACAACAAUUGUAUUAAACAAUUAGUUUUUCCCUUCUCUUAGCUUCAAAGAUCAACAGCAUAGAGACGUUUGAAAAAACUUAAACAAAAAAAUGCUAGAUCUAUAAAAAAACAAUACAACAACUUACAUCUCAUUCAUGAUUUCUAUUUAAGACAAAGGGUAUAAGUGGACAUACCUAAACAGCAACAAAUAAAUCCUCAAUCUGAAAAGAAGAUGAUGAAACCCAGCUACAAAUGAAGCAAAAUUAGCAGGAGAAACAGCAACAGUCCUCAACUCAGCUUUUGAACGAACUAUUCUCGAAAUGACCUCAACUCGACCAAAUGCAAUCCAUUUUUGUAAAAGAAAAUCAAACAUCAAGAUGAACGAUGAAGAACAAAGAUAUCUUUGUCCCUAUAUUUCGUUUGAAACUUAAAUAAAAUUGGAGCGGCAGAUCGAAGCUUCUUUUUAUUUUCCUAAGAGAGGGAUCAGGUGGGGCUGUUGGUUGUUGAGGUUUCCUAGAGGGGAAAGGUUCUGUUCUUCUUUUGCGAUUUUUGACCGAGAAGAAGAUGGGAGCGCCCCCUUUUUUUUGUUCUUCAGAGAAGGGGAGGGUCUAUCUUAUUCUCCUUUUUUUUUCUCUAGGCCUAAAUCUAGGUUUUAAUAUAAAG